rnacentral:lncRNA from 1 species
AUAAAUCUGUCCACUACUUAAACUAGCGUGUUAAAAUAUGACGGUUUUAACAUCUUUGAAAGAAUCAAGUGACUAGAUAUUACUGCAUCUUAUUGAUUAUUGAAAUGAUUGAUUACCUUUUUUUCUAAUCAUACUCAAGACGGCCUACUCAUGAAGAAUGUAAUAAGGGUUAUAUUUUAUUAAAUAAGAAUACAGUACAUGCUUAUUUUCCGAUUGUAUUAGCUUUAUAGAAACAGUUAUGAAGAAAAACGAGACUUGCAAAACUUAUUUUCUAUUUCGUAACGAUUAUACAGAUCGAUUUGCUAUGGAAAA